UGGGGAAUAUUGCGCAAUGGGCGAAAGCCUGACGCAGCGACGCCGCGUGAGGGAAGAAGGCCUUCGGGUCGUAAACCUCUGUCAGGAGGGAAGAAACCAUGGGAGUCGAACCAGGCUCUCGUGCUGACGUACCU
rnacentral:rRNA from 1 species